rnacentral:rRNA from 1 species
UACGGAGGGUGCUAGCGUUGGUCGGAAUCACUGGGCGUAAAGGGCGCGUAGGCGGCCUGCUAAGUCGAACGUGAAAUCCCCGGGCUUAACCCGGGAACUGCGUCCGAUACUGGUGGGCUUGAAUCCGGGAGAGGGAUGUGGAAUUCCAGGUGUAGCGGUGAAAUGCGUAGAUAUCUGGAGGAACACCGGUGGCGAAGGCGGCAUCCUGGACCGGUAUUGACGCUGAGGCGCGAAAGCUAGGGGAGCAAACGGG